rnacentral:lncRNA from 1 species
UAAUGCGGUGAAAAGGAACCAGUUAAAAAGGCGGUUCCCUGUUUAGUCAACGUUUCACCAUGAUCUAAUGUGGUGAAAAGGAACCAGUUGAAAAUGGAGGACCAGAUACGAUUUUACUAUACUUGGAUUUACACAUUAAUUGUUGGCGAUUUUCGGUGUAAAUUUAGCGGUUGAACAAAAUUAACAUCGCAGUCGUGAAUAAUAAAAAUGAAAAUAAUUUUUGAGAUCGUUUUUGGAAUUUUGUCGGCAAAGUUAUUGGACCUCGGACCACUGCUAAUUUUGAACCCCUGUUUCAGACAGUUAUUGAGGUUGACAAAGGGUCAAUUUUGUUCAAGUGUUGAUCAGAAAGUUUGAAACACGUCGAAAGGAGCUGUUUUGGUUCAAUUAAACAUAUGAGGUACCUGUCCAAAUAAUUAUGACAUCUGGCAAGGCUUCCUGGGGUCCCAGAAAGAAGAAAAAAUAGCCUUGCCAGAUGUAACUAAAGGGAAGGAUGUUUUAACUUGCU